CCUACGGGAGGCAGCAGUGGGGAAUAUUGGACAAUGGGCGAAAGCCUGAUCCAGCCAUGCCGCGUGUGUGAAGAAGGCCUUCGGGUUGUAAAGCACUUUCAGUGGGGAAGAAAGCCUUGGGGCUAAUACCCUCGAGGAAGGACAUCACCCACAGAAGAAGCACCGGCUAACUCCGUGCCAGCAGCCGCGGUAAUACGGAGGGUGCGAGCGUUAAUCGGAAUUACUGGGCGUAAAGCGCGCGUAGGCGGUCUGAUAAGCCGGUUGUGAAAGCCCCGGGCUCAACCUGGGAACGGCAUCCGGAACUGUCAGGCUAGAGUGCAGGAGAGGAAGGUAGAAUUCCCGGUGUAGCGGUGAAAUGCGUAGAGAUCGGGAGGAAUACCAGUGGCGAAGGCGGCCUUCUGGACUGACACUGACGCUGAGGUGCGAAAGCGUGGGUAGCAAACAGGAUUAGAUACCCGUGUAGU
rnacentral:rRNA from 1 species